rfam:Myotis lucifugus cont2.3813, whole genome shotgun sequence.
GAGACACCCUUCUGGGUCAAGACUUGCUUCAGUGGGGCUUUGGUGCUCACUGAGUCUGCCCCCUGAGUGUGUCCCU